AAGCUGAGCCAAGUGGGACGUGGCGCUCUGCUGCGCGGGCGAGGAGGCCGCGCCUCUUCCUUCCCUAGAUUUACUGGAGAAGCCUGUGGAGCAGGACUUGGGUGGGUGAGGUACUGUCAAGGGACUGAGACAGAGCCGUUGGCCUUGACCGCCGCAAGGAUCAGAGAGGUUGGUUGAAACCAUAGUGAGAAUCUAUAGAUAAAGAGGAAGCCUAAAGGAAGCUACUGUUACCAAGAUGCAAUAUAGGUUCAUGGCUACAGACACCUCUACCCCGUAGCUAGACUUCCUCUUGUGAAAUUGUUUGCUCCUAGCACCAUUUGUGAAAAAAGAGUUGCUGAAAGCUGAGCACCAGCAUUCAAGAGGCCACAAAUUCGAGGCCAGCCUGGGGUACAUGGCAGACGAUGUGUCAAAAAUUGAAAAAAAAAAGUUCAAAUGUAUUUCCUUUUUACUUCCAUUCACUGGUUCUUGUCUUGCCUAAUGCAAAAGGUUCUCAGUAAGUACCAGCUUCCUUUGUAUCCCCACUUCUUGAUUUUCAUCACAGUUUAUCUAAAGGAAGAAAAGCUUUCCUUUUACCUUCUUCUGUGCAAGUACUGAAGACCUGAAAAUUAAAACUCCCAAAAACAAAGCAUGUGGUAUAAGAGAGGAAAAUGAGGUGAGGUAGACAAGAAAUCACUGUCACCUCCAGCAACAGCUGGACCUGUGACACGCACCUAUAGUUCCAGCACUCAGAAGGCUGGGGCAGGAAGACCACUUGAGCUCAGGAGUAUGAGGCCAGCCUGGGUAACAUAGUGAGACUGUCCAAUAAAUCUAGGCAGAAUGGGGGCUGGGAGCCUCUCUGAGAAGCCGUCAAGAAGGAACUGAUGUGAAGGACCCUCCUGCCAGGAAAGAGCAUUCCAGGGAAAAAGAGCUACACAAGGACUGAGGACGUUGGAGGGAAAUUUGGUGUGGAAAGAAUGGGGGAAUAGUUUAAGAAAAAGCAAGAAAGAGAGCUUUGCAAAUGGGUUGGAGGGAAAAUGUUAGAAGCAAUGGAGAAACGAACAUGAACUGUGGUGCAAACUUAUUUUUGUAAAAUUAUUUAGGUAGUAUUAAGGAAACAGCUGGCUCAACAUCUUUAGUUUGGUAUUACAAACACUUGAACAAUAGUUCAUAAGCAUAUGCAUGCAAAAUACAUGUUCAUGGGCUGGGGAUUUAGCUCAGCGGCAUAAGCACCUGCCUUGCAAGCAGGCAGUCGUGAGUUCGAUCCCUGGUACUGAUAAAAAAUGAAAAAGACAAAAAAAAAAAAAAUACAUGUUCAUAUAGUUUAUAUGUUUUUAAAGGAUUCAAAAUAAUUUAUAGAAAUAUUACAAAAUAGGUCAGUGGGUCAAAUAAUUGGAGAAGUGAGAAGUAAAGGUAAACACAAGGAAAAUAAAGCAACUACUGUGACAUACAAAAGUAGCUAAUAUACAGUUCUAAGCAAUAGCUACACAUUAGCUGUGUUCUGUUUUGUUUUGUUUUAUUUGAAACAGAAUCUCACUAUAUGGUUUAGGCUGGCCUUAGAUUCACUGUUGGAGCCCUGCUCCAACACAGAGCGAUCUUCCUGCCUCAGCCCCCUAAGUGAUGUAAUUAUAGGCACUUGCCACCACUCUCAGCUAGACUAUUCAUUUGACUGUAUGCUUGGGGGUAAGGCAAUAUGAAUAAUAAUGAACUUUGAUGUCCACAUGAUAACUUAAAAAUCACCCUUAAGAGAAAGACAGCUUCCUGAUUACAAGACCCAAGAGAAAUUUUCCUUAAUGGUGAGUCAUUCAGGAACAUAAUGGUCAAAGUCCACAGCAACAUCCUACAAGCAACACAAGAUUUUAUCUCCUAAAACUAAUUUCAGUGCUUAAAGCAAACAGGGAAUUCACAAAAGAAAUCUGAUAUAGAAACAGAAACAAGUUAGCUAUGCAGCUUAUGCUAGCAGCUAUGAAUCAGGAAUAAUGUUUAAAAUAGCUAGAGAAAUAGGAUUGUUUAACUUUCAAGUAAUACUCAAUAAACAUUAUUUCUUGCACGUGAACUUCUGAGAAUAAAGUAUAAUAGUUUGAAGAUUUUUUAUUUUUAAAAAAAUUAAUUAAAUUUUUUGGUACAAUCCUAUUCUAUUCUACUCUAUUCUAUUCUUCACGUUUUUGAGAUAGGAUCUCAUCAUGUAUUUCAGGGUCUCCCUAUUCAGUUCAGGCUGGCCUUGAAAUCACUAUGUACCCCAGGCUGGCCAUGCCCAGCUCUUUGAUACUAGUUUUAGACAUAAAUAAUGAUCAUGUUCAUCAUAGGGAAUUUGUAGCUGUACAUGACAUACCUUGAUUCUUCUUUUUUUCCACAUUCCCAAGAUUUUUUUCAAUCCUUCUUCCCCUCCUUAUUUACAAAAGCUUUGUUUCCAUUUUUCCAUCUUUUCCAAUUUUUUCUUUUCCCUUCUUUCCCUUCUCCCGAGUUCUACUUCCCAUUUGAACAUUUUAGAAUUUGAAGUUAUUACAUAAGAAAUAGACUAGAAAUGAACUUUGAUGCUGAUUAAUAGUUGUUUUAAUAAUCAAUGGCACUGAAGGCAGUACUAAUAUCCCUUCAGAGCAGGGAGGGGUCUAACAGAAUGACAGCCCAAAAGAGAGGACAUCAUGCUGCUAUUUGGAGAUGGCCUAAGAAGCUUGUAUGUGCAAAGGCAAGACUUGUGCCAGAAACUAUAUCUGGCUUCUCUUAAGUAAAUACACAGAUGAUGAUUCUGGUCCCCGAUUCUUUCAUACAACUGUAAUCAAGAUUUCUCUUUCUUUCUCUCUCAAAAAACAAUCACUCUAGCUCCCAGUAGUUAAAAGAAUGCCUUAAUUAAUAAAUUAGUUAAGAAAUUUACUUUCCAGAGCCAGAAGAGGUGGUGCAUACAUGAUCUCAGUACUCUGGGGCCUCAGACAAGAGGACUGUUAAAAGUUUGAAGCCAGCAGCCUGUUCUACAUAGUGAGUUCAAGGCCAACAUAGGUUACAUAUCAAGACUCUGUCCUCCUCCUCCUCCCCACAACCACCCCCCACCAAAAAAAAGGAAAGAAAGAAAAGAAAAGAAAUUUUUGGCAAAAAUCAAUUAAAUGUUGGAGGACAGUUAUCAGAAACAGUAUUUGAUCACUUGCAAGUGCGUGGUCUUGAGUUCAAUCCAUGGUACCAAUAAAAAAAAACAAACAAACCAGUAUUUGAAUGUAAAAAGAACUGAUCUCAAGUCAUGCUUUCUGGCAAAAUAUAGAAGGAUAGUGCCUGUUGAGUUGUAAUAAUACAAUAUUCAGCCAGGAAUUUAGCUCAGCAGCAUAAGUCCAAGAUCGUGAGUUCAAUCCAUGGUACAAUAUAUAUAUAUUUUUUUUUUCACAACAUAAAGACAAAUAAUGAUCUUUCUUUUUUAAACAGAAGAUCAUGAACUAAGCUUAUCUAAAAAUUGGUUUCAGUUCAUUGAAGAGUACACUUUGAAAAACAGGGAAGUUCUCUUCCUGAACUGAGAGUUAUCAGAUUUGCUAGCAGAACACACACUGGCUAACGAGUUGCCAGACCAUUUUUCUUUCCUGUGAGCCUACAGUUUAACUACAUUUACUAGCCUAGGUGUAGAAAAGUAUGUUUUAGCCACUGCAAUUGGAUGUAUUUCACCUUUACGCUUGGGGUAAGAAAUCUCAGUGACUUUAGGGGUGUUGAAGACUGCAAACCUUUUAAUUUACCUAGGUCCCUCAACAUACAAUCUCAAUGUGUCAAUGUGAGGAAAAGAAACUUCCAUGUGUUAACCACUGGGACUGCAGAUUUAUUGUUACAGCAGCUAGAACAUGGUUAAACACUAAUAUAGUAAAUAUAUAUAUAUAUAUAUAUAUAUAUAUAUACUGCCUAGGUGCAGUGGUACAUACCUUCAAUCCCAGCUACUCAAGGAGACUGAGCCAAGAGGACUGCAAGUUCAAGACCAGCCUGGGCAAUUAGCAAGACCUUGUCUCAAAAUAGAAAAUAAAAAUGAGUGGGGAUAAAAAGGCUCAGUAGGGACUUCCAGGAGAACACUGUGGAUAGAUAACAGCAGCUAUGGAGGCUCUCUGAGAUAGCUAGCUUAGAAUCCAGGAAUGGUGCGGUGAGAGGAGUCCUAAGCUGGGGGAGAUAUACCCUGAUGACCAAGGAAUGAACUAAACUGAGAGAAACCAACUGGAAAUGCAAUCCUGGUGCUAUAACUGGAACAGAUAAAAUCUCAGCACAGAAGCUGGAGCCCGUGCCACUGGAAGCCACGAUUUGAAUUUCCUGCUACCGCUGCUGCUGCAUCUGAAUUGGUGUGGCAGGGACAGAAUGUGAAAGUUCUGAGAGCGGGAAUCGGUGAACGGAGUUGAGAGCAGGACUGGCGGGGAGCCCUGCAUCAACCUGUGGUGAGUGAGAGGAACGAGGACCCUUCCAUAGACUAGGAGGCUAAAACAGAGGACAUUCUGGCACCAAGCAGAUUAGCCGGAACAAGCUGCCGCAGUGACUUUAGUCACAUAUUCCCCUCUCAAGUGGGAUUGGUAGGGAGCACUUGGCCUGGGUGAUGCCACGGACUAAGACCCAAUAGGCUAGCCCAAACCAGGCCCCAGUGCUGGGCGGUGUACCCUAGCAGUGAAGCCUUUAGUAGGUUGACCUGGAGGGGCGGGUCCAGCAGAGGCUGCCCAAGUCUGUGUCUCCCUAGUACACUGCAGUGGCCGGGAACACCUAGCCGGUGGAUUCAUACAAACUGUAACCAACAAAGAAAGAAACUGGACCUCCUAUAUACACUUGUAUGGAAGGAACAAAAAGUAUGGGAAGAGGGAACAACAAGAAAGGGUCCUCAGUCCCCAAUCCUGAGAACACUGAUCCAGGAAAGGUUAAUGCAAAGGAGAACGAGGACAUAAAACAUGCAAUAUCAGACCCGGCACCAAUAGACAUAAAGUGAUAUCUCCGGAGCCUCAUAGACGAGUUCAAAAGUGAAGUAUUUAACAAAGUCAAGCAAGAUAUAAGUAGAAUAGUUAGAGAAAUGCUAAGCACUGCCCAAGAAAAAAAAAACAGAUGGUGGAAUGAAAGAACGGGGGAAAAGGGGAGAAUUGUUUGAUGGAGAAAAUAGAGAAAACAUAGAAUACAUGAAGCAGGUUCAAAGAGAUUACCAGGGAACAAAAACUUUAUUGAAAGCUGGCAUAACAGCUUGAAAGAAACUAAGGUUAGAUUAUCUGAACUGGAGGACAGAUUUGUAAUGUGGGAGCAUGAAAUGAAAAACUUCUUAAAAAUAACAAGGAAACAAACAGCAAUAAUACAAAGGCUAGAAGAUGAUGUCAUGGUUUAUGUUUGUGUCCCCCAGGCCUCAUGAGUUUGAAUUGUGUGUUUGUGAUUUGUUCAUUGUCUAGUGCUUGGACUGAUAGUGUUAGUUCUACACCCACUUAGGGGUGGAGCCAGGAUGUAAUGUAAUGGCAGGAAGAAGGUAUGUCUUUCUCUUUGCUGGUUCGAGUUUGCUGUUGGCGGCCGCCAUGAACUGCAGCCCAGCCAUGCCUGCCUGUCUUGGAGCCAACUGAAUGUGGACUGAAACCUCCAAAAACUGUAAGAAAUAAACCUUUCCUUUCCCAACUUUGGGCUUCAGGUAUUUUGUCUCAGCGUUGAGUAAAAAGUAACUAAGACAGAUGAUAAGAGGAUCUAUAACUUAAGAAUUAAGAACAAAAAAGAAGGGCCUGGGGAUUUAGAUCAGCGGCAUAAGCACCUGCCUUGCAAGCAGGUGAUUGUGAGUUUGAUCCCUGGUACCAAUAAAAAAAGAAAAAAAAAGACUGAAAAAAAAUAAUGUAAAAGAAGAAGUAGGGACACAAACAAAUGAACUACAAAGGCUAUUCACAGAAAUAAUCCAGGAGAAUUUCCCUAAUUUAGCAAUAGGUAAAGAUAAUCAAAUGUAUGAGGCAUACAACCCAAACAGAACUACACCCAGGCAUAUAAUAAUUAAAAUUCCAGAAAUACAAUAUAAGAACAGAAUAUUAAAAGCCGUCAGAGUCAAGAAACAGAUCACUUACAAGGGAACACCCAUCAGAAUUACAGCAGACUUCUCAGCACAAACUAUCAAAUCAUGAAGAGCAUGGGGGGAAAUAAUUCAAACUUUGAAAGAUAAUAACCUCCAGCCAAGAUUGAUAUAUCCUGCACAACUGUCCCUAGAAAUUGAUGGAAAAACAAGGUGCUUCCAGGAUAAAGAGGAACUAAGGGAAUUUGCAACCACCAAUUCAACUCUACAGAGAAUACUGCAGAACAUUCUAAAAAAGAAAAAUUCCAAGAUUCUAGAAACAGUGGCAGAGAGGCCACAAUGAAUGGAGCAGAAAGCAAAAUGAAGAAGACAAACUGACAACUAAUGAUAGAAAAAGAGCUCAACAGAAAUGAGGCAGAGAAGGUUGGAUGGUAUGAACAGCUAUUUUGGAGAAAACAAGAGAUCAUAAUAGCUAGUGCUGAUUUAAUAUCAUCUUGUUUUGAAGUCCCAUCAAGUUUUUGUUCUUCUGUCUCCAUUGAUCUUAACAUGUUGUAUCUUAUUGGACUUUAUUAUAUGUGAUAAUAUAAACAAAUACUUUUAUAGACAAGGAGAUUAUACAGAAACCAUUGUUCAUUUUCUGAUAGUUGGCUCUAAAUACCCUGUAAUACUGUCAUUCUCUUGAACGGUUUUACAUUGUCUUGAUAUGUUUGAUGCUACAGCAUACAAAGUUAUACUCAAAGAUUUCAAGGAAAGAGACACUAUGCUAACUACUUUUGUGUCAGGAUAUCUUGUGGUGAAACACUAUUUUGCUUAAAUGGUUAUGUUUUGAUCUGUGCUGUUUUGUUUUUAUGUCUUUUUUUAAUCUCAAUCUCCAUUUUUUAUUAUUUAAUUUUUAUUUUUAUAUUUUUAAUUAAGGGAAAAAUAAAAAUAGCAGGAUAUAUUAUAGUAAAUCACUUUGAUUUCCUAUUAACUUGAUUUGAAACCCUGUAUUGCUCUCACCAUCUUGUUUUGACUCUUGAUUUUACUCUAUUCUGUUUUGCUUGAUAGUACCAAAUUUGAGAGUAUAGGCAACAACUGUGAAGACAAUAAGAUUCACUAUGAGGCCCGUUUUGGUUUGACUAUUAUCUUCUUUUGAAGUCCUGUAAUGUCUCCAAUGUUUGGUUUUAUCAGUUUUGUUCUUUACUGUUUUGUCCAAUUUUAUUAUAACUGAUGAUAUAGGCAAUUCUUUUUAAGACAUCAAGGGGCAUUAUGGUAACCAUUGUUGAUCACCUUGUAUUCUGUUUUUACAUUAUGUACUAUAUUCAUCCUUUUUAUUUGAUUGAUUGUUUUGUUAUGUCACAUUUGAUUUUAUUCUCUUCAAAAAAAAAAGUAAUAAAAACUGUGGGAGUAAUAAAACCCAAAAUGUGUAAUGGUCAUUGUAAAAAAGAGAGGAAAAGAAAGUGCUCUAAAGGAUAUAACUGCAUGUACAUUUAAGUGUAUAAGAUGGAUGACCAUAUUACUGAGUUUUGUUGGAUCAUUGAACAGAACUGUUUGCAGUCUCACUGUUUGAAUGUCCACUUGUAUGCUUUAAUUUUGUAACUGGAACAACUAUUUCUAGGAUGACAAUAUGUAAUCUACUAACCAGUGAUUUCCUACUGUUUAUUUUUUCUGAAGUUCUGUAUAACUCGUACCCUUUUUCUGUUUGUUUUUCUUUUUCUCCUUAAAUAAAAUUUAAAAAAGGCUCAGUACUUCUUGGCCAGCAUGCUCAAGGCCUUGCAUUCAAUGCCCAGUACAGGGGUUAAGGGAAUAGGGGGAGAAUACACUUCUACCUUUCUAUAGAAGUUCCUCGUUCUAAA